ensembl:lncRNA
GGAGCUUGUCCACGCCCUGAGAACGCCCUCGGGCAGGGGCUGAAGGGUGCAGCCCGGAAGCCUCCGCAGGUGAGCCCUGGUCCGCCACCCCUCUGCCAAGCCGUCACCCUGGAGCCAGGGACUUGUUCUCCUGACUCAGGUUCAAGGCUGGCAUCCCGGAGGGUGUUGUGAGCAACUUGAGACCUGGGACAAGGUCGGAGACAGGCCAGUCAUGUGUGAAAUGAGCACAAAGUGCGCGGCCCUGGGAGAAGCAGCCGCCGCAGCUCCCGGGAGGCUGAGCCGUGUCAGACCGAGUGGGGUAUGGGGAGCAGCGCAAGUUGUAAGAGCAGGUGGUCAUUGGCUGGAGCCUGGACAAAGGACCAAGGGGCUGGGGCCCACCUGGCCUUCAGCCUAAGUGACUGCCCUGCACGUGGGCAUCUGGGGCAGGGGGUGCAACCCUGUCCUGUUGCCUUCCGGGAUGCUGGUUGUCUGCCUGCCCCUACACCCUCCCCUCACUCCACGUCCUCUCCUGGACCGUCCUCUGAGUCACUGGAUCCCGUGUGGUCUUCUACACAAGAAAAAUGCAGGUGGCGCCGAGGGUAACCAGAGGUGGCAUACAGCAUCCCCAUGUACCUGCACACUUGUUCUGAGAAAACGGAAGCAAACCCAGCUGGUUUGGGGAUCUGAGACUUUGGUGGUUCCAAUGCCGGUUCCCAGCUCUCGAAACUGCACUUGCUGAUUUCUGGUCUGUGGUUUAUCUGUGAGAAGUAAGUUCUGGAAACUUCCUUCGAGGCCUUGGGGUGACCCAGAGAUUUGUGGGCCUGAGGCAGGGCUGGUUGGACCUUCUUCCUGCUCCCAAGAGGCUCUGCCUGAUUUAAAACUCUCACCUGUUCUGAGGAGCUUGAGACUGACCUGUGUCAUACAUGCAAAUUGUGCUUUUUUCCCCACCAAACCUGUUUUCUGGUUUAGCAGGAACCGAGAAGUGUGAGAGGAGAAGGCCAUGGCACCCCACUCCAGUACUCUUGCCUGGAAAAUCCCACAGACGGAGGAGCCUGGUAGGCUGCAGUCCAUGGGGUCGCACAGAGUCGGACACAACUGAGUGACUUCACUUUCACUUUUCACUUUCAUGCAUUGGAGGAGGAAAUGGCAAGCCACUCCAGUGUUCUUGCCUGGAGAAUCCCAGGGACGGAGGAGCCUGUUGGGCUGCCGUCUAUGGGGUCGCACAGAGUCGGACAUGACUGAAGUGACUUAGCAGCAGAGGAGUGUGAGCAAAUGCCAUGGGACUGCAUCCCACCCUGUCCAUGUCCUCUGCUCCCGAUCGGUUCAUUCACUGGAUGUCACGCUGUACCUGCCAGGCGUCAUUAUGGGCGCUCAGUCUGGGGACAAGUUUAUGACCAUUUUUAGUUGACGCCAAUGACGUCUUUGCCUCUUCAUGACAUCAGUCCAUGUGUUUUCUUUUUAAACAAACAACACAACAAUACCAAUAUCUAUGGAAACCAGGCCAGAAAGAAAGAAGCUGAAAAAGCCCGCAGCGGAGCCCUGGAGGGAGCCGUGUGUCCCCCUGGGCAAUCAGAGCUUCCAUAUCACCUUGGCAACUGGGGGA